UUGGUUCGAAACAAGGGGGAAUAAGCUCUUCUUCUCCCUUUGUUCUCAAACGAGAAUUUUUGUAUCCGAAACAGUAAUUUUUGAAUUUCUGAAAUAAACUGAUAUAAAACUGGAACUGCUAUAUAUUCUAUUCUUUUUUCUGAAACAAAUUUAUUCCUAAGUGGAAACUAAAUUAAUUAAAACCUAAAUUUAAUUUUAAUUAUAAUAUUAAAUUAUUAAUUAAGUUAAUUAUUAUAUUUAAAUCAUUAUCCAUUCUUAAAUAAUAAAGUAAUUAAUUAAUUUAUGACUUACAAUUGAUUAGUUAAUUAAUUAUUAAUAAUUUAAUAUGUUUAACUAUAAAUUAAUAUUUAUAUUGAUAAACCAUUAAUAUUUUUAUUAAUCUAAUUAAUUUUUUAUUAGUUAUCUAACUAAAAUAAUUUACUAACUAAUUAAAAAUUAAAAUUUUUAAUAUUUAAUUAAUUAAUUAAUAUAUUUUAUUAGCUUAUACAAUAUUCAUAGCUAAUAAAUUUAUUAAUUUAUUAAAUUACUUUUAAGUAAUAUUUUAAAUUUAAUUAAUUAUAUAAAAUAAUUUUAAUUUAAAAUUAUAGCUCUAAUUUCUUUUGUUCUAAUAUAACCAUCCAAAUAUUAUUUAUCUUAUUUCCAGAAAUAAUUUAAUUUUUAUUUAAGCCCAAAAUUAGUUUAAUUCUCGUGUAUAUCUAAACUUAUAGCUAUUUCUGAAAUAAAUAAUCUUUAUUUAUAUAUGAACCAAAU
rnacentral:lncRNA from 1 species